AUUGCACGCUGGCGGCAGGCCUAACACAUGCAAGUCGAACGAGUGGCGGACGGGUGAGUAAUGUCUGGGAAACUGCCUGAUGGAGGGGGAUAACUACUGGAAACGGUAGCUAAUACCGCAUCCCAUCGGAUGUACCCAUAUGGGAUUAGCUAGUAGGUGGGGUAAAGGCUCACCUAGGCGACGAUCCCUAGCUGGUCUGAGAGGAUGAACAGCCAUACUGGAACUGAGACACGGUCCAGACGCCUACGGGAGGGAGCAGUGGGGAAUAUUGCACAAUGGGCGCAAGCCUGAUGCAGCCAUGCCGCGUGUAUGAAGAAGGCCUUAGGGUUGUAAAGUACUUUCAGCGGGGAGGCGUUACCCGCAGAAGAAGCACCGGCUAACUCCGUGCCAGCAGCCGCGGUAAUUC
rnacentral:rRNA from 1 species